AACGAACGCUGGCGGCAGGCCUAACACAUGCAAGUCGAGCGAGGACUUCGGUCCUAGCGGCGGACGGGUGAGUAACGCGUGGGAACGUGCCCUUUGCUUCGGAAUAGCCCUGGGAAACUGGGAGUAAUACCGGAUGAGCCCUUUGGGGGAAAGAUUUAUCGGCGAAGGAUCGGCCCGCGUUGGAUUAGGUAGUUGGUGGGGUAAUGGCCUACCAAGCCGACGAUCCAUAGCUGGUUUGAGAGGAUGAUCAGCCACACUGGGACUGAGACACGGCCCAGACUCCUACGGGAGGCAGCAGUGCGGAAUCUUAGACAAUGGGGGAAACCCUGAUCUAGCCAUGCCGCGUGAGCGAUGAAGGCCUUAGGGUUGUAAAGCUCUUUCAGCUGGGAAGAUAAUGACGGUACCAGCAGAAGAAGCCCCGGCUAACUCCGUG
rnacentral:rRNA from 1 species